AUGGCCGGCCAGGACAGGUUUAUUUGUAUAUACCCUGCUUAUUUAAAUAACAAGAAGACCAUUGUGGAGGGCAGGCGAAUCCCCAUAAGUAAGGCUGUUGAAAAUCCUACAGCUACAGAGAUUCAAGAUGUGUGCUCAGCAUUUGGACUUAAUGCAUUUCUUGAGAAAAACAAAAUGUACUCCAGAGAAUGGAAUCCUGAUGCUCAGUACAGGGGCAGAGUCCGGGUUCAACUCAAACAGGAAGACGGCAGCCUCUGUCUUGUACAAUUCCCAUCACAUAAGUCAGUAAUGUUGUAUGCAGCGGAAAUGAUUCCUAAACUAAAAACAAGGACACAAAAAACAGGAGGCAGUGACCAAACUCUUCAGCAAAGAGAGGGAGGUAAAAAAGGGAAAGGAAAGAAGAAGUGACCUGGCAAGACAAUCAAGUCUGACAUUCUACUUUAAGAGACGUGGAUGGAGGUUUCUGAUUUGUAUUUGAGAGAAACUGAAGCUUUUUGUUUGUAUCAUUUAACUGAACUAUGAACAUUUGUGCCUCCCAGCUUUAGCAUGAGAGUUGACAAUGAAAUAAAUUUACAUCAAAAGUUUGCAUCU